GUUCCCUGGCGUAAUGGCAACGUGUUUGACUUCGAAUCAAGAGAUUACAGGUUCGAUCCCUGUGAUGGUCG
rnacentral:tRNA from 1 species